GAAAUUGUUUUUUCUAGAAUCAUUUCUAAAAUUUGUAAUAAAACAAGUGCGAUUGAAAGUAUCUGUGUUGGUAUCCAUGAAAAGUUACAGUGUUUUUUCUGAGCGUGAAGCAAGGGAACAGUGUUGUUUUAAUUCAGUUGUUGUUUGCUAUUGAUGACUGUUCCUGUCUCCUUGUUUGGGGAACAAGGAGAGGGAAAACACGGACUGAGUGGU